ACUAAUAAAAUAUCUCAUAAUUAUUAAGUCCAAAUUCGAUGGGCAAUUAGGCAUUAGAGACCAUCAAUAUUAAACCCUGAUCAAAGAGUUUAAAUUUCAAAUUCAAAAGUUGAAAUUCAAAAUUUUGACCACGGUACCCAAAAUGUGUGGAACUCAUAAUCAGAGAAUCCUAAUUCUCAAUCAUAAAGUCUCAGACAUAUAAGACUUAUAAUCAGCCAUC
rnacentral:lncRNA from 1 species